GGGGAAUAUUGGACAAUGGGCGCAAGCCUGAUCCAGCCACGCCGCGUGAGUGAUGAAGGCCUUCGGGUCGUAAAGCUCUGUGGGGAGGGACGAACCGCUGCCGGCUAAUACCCGGCAGCAUGACGGUACCUCCUUAGCAAGCACCGGCUAACUUCGUGCCAGCAGCCGCGGUAAUACGAAGGGUGCAAACGUUGCUCGGAAUUAUUGGGCGUAAAGCGCACGUAGGCGGCUUAGCAAGUCGGAAGUGAAAUCCCUCGGCUCAACCAAGGAAGUGCUUUCGAAACUGCUGAGCUUGAGUACUUAAGAGGAUCGCGGAAUUCCCGGUGUAGAGGUGAAAUUCGUAGAUAUCGGGAGGAACACCAGUGGCGAAGGCGGCGAUCUGGGAAGAUACUGACGCUGAGGUGCGAAAGCGUGGGGAGCAAAC
rnacentral:rRNA from 1 species